rnacentral:lncRNA from 1 species
GUUUUUGAAGAUGCAGGAUUCUAGUUCCUUUUUAUGCUGAUAGAGAUGGAGAAAUAAGGAUGGAUGCCAGAUAGGGUCCGAGAAGUGAGUGGGGCUGGGGUCCCAGCACAAGUGGAAGGCAAGUUGGGCCUGAGGGAGGAGCCAGGCCACCCACGGGGACAGAGGGAAGGCAGAGUCUGUGAUGAGGGAGGAUCUAGUCCACGGCUUCUACUUCCUCAGUGAAGUUUGAGAGAAAGACACCAGUGAGAGCAUGAGAAGAGGAAGCAGGGACUGGAGCUUCGAGGGGACAGAUCUGUGAAACGCUUCCUUCCUUGCAGAACAACAAACAAGGGAAAUGGAGACAGGUCUCCUGGGACCUGGGAGAGCCCAUCACAUUUGUGGUUGUGAACUAAAGUGAGACUAGUUUCUGCAGUUUCAUUUUGUCACUUUUUUUCAAAAAAAUAUUUUAUUCUUUUUUUAGUUGUAGAUGGACACAAUAUCUUUAUUUUAUUUUUAUGUGAUGCUAAGGAUCGAACCCAGGGCCUUGCAUGUCCUAGGCGAGCAAUCUACAGCUGAGCCACAACCCCAGCCCUCAUUUUAUCCCUUUUAGCUGCACAGAGUAGGUGGGUGAUACCAUGUUGACCAAGAAGAUUGUCUGGAGAUGGACAUUCCCGGCCUCUGAGGGGACAGGGUCAGCUUGGGGCCAUGAUGAAGUGAGGAGAGCUUAUUAUUACAGGAGCCACUAUCUUUUCCUCCCUUUUUCCUCCACCGAGGACCUGGCUUUGUUCAGGCAUUCACACAGCUCAUGAGAGCCACAGGACUGGGAAACAGUGCCCAUCCCCAGUUCCAGGAAAGGACACUAAUAUUCUAAACCAAUUGGCACAUGCCAUUCCCUUGGUGAUGAGGAUUGAUUGCUCUAGGAGUGAGCAUGGGGCCCAACGUGGGCCAAGCAGAUAGAAGGGAAGGAUGGAUUCCAUGGGUGACACCUGUUUUUCCUCGUGCAUCCUACACGAGGAAAAGGGAAGGAGUUAGCCCUAGUCCUGGGACAAAGCUGAUGCUGAGGACGAAAAGUAGAGAUGUGGAGAUCAUCUGGGACUUGAUGAUGCUGUCGAAACUUUGAAUCAACUCUCAAGACUCUUUUAGCUUUAACCUUCCUGUUAUUUGAAAUGAUACAUCUCCUUAUCUGAAGAGACACAUACACAAGAAGAAAAUUAAAACACACACACACACACACACACACAUACACACUUCAGUCAGGGUUUUGUUACUUGCAGCCAAGCACGUAAUGGACACCAUUUUUUUUUUUUUUGCAGCAUAUGAGCAAUCCUUGAGACUG